GAUCUAGAGCAACAAAUAGAGGAACCAACUAGAAUAACAAAUACGUCUCAGACGAGAAUAGACCUAGUGUUGACAAAUAAGCCAAACAGAAUUCACAAGACUUUUAAUUUUCUGACUGGUCUAUCAGACCACAAUUGUAUUCUCUUUUUGAGAAAACUUACUAAACAGAGGUUAGCUGAACCACAAAGUACUCCACCCACCUCCACUGAUAAUGUAAUUCCCAAGAAUCAGACCCAGAAUCUCAAUGCAGCCUUGAAAAUGGUAGACUGGAAGGAAACUCAAACUUACACUAACAUUGAUAUGACUUGUGACUCAUUCAUCUACAACACAGAGGUAAUAGCCUCUUUUACCUACAGAGGGAGGCGCAAAUCAAAGAAAGGUGACAGCCUGCCUUGGUUAGACCAGCACUGCAGAACUCUAAUGAAAUCUAGACAUGUACUGCUCAAACAAAGCCUGACACCUGCUUUGUCCAUAGAUAGGCAAAAGUUCACUCAUGUACGCAAUAAAACUACCCAAGCCAUAAGAAAGGCCACGGCAAACUUUUUUAUAUCCAUCAUAGAAAAUACAAAAGGGAAUGGGAAAAAACAUGGCAAAUU